CAAUUAUUAAUUUCUAUCACCAAAGUCUUUUAAAUGAACCAAAUUCCCUAUGUUGAAUGGAAAAAGUUACUUGUUAUCAGCUUUCUGUUUGUUUCCGUUAAUGCGCUGUUCAAAUUUUUCAAACUCGGCAAUUGCAACCUCCUCUUCUGGAUCUAAAACUUGUACAACAUUUUCCACUUCCGGAAUGUAAUGCUUCAGCAUUUGCUGAAUUCCAUUUUUUAGUGUCACAGCUGAUGACGAACAGGUUCGACAUGCACCUCGAAGUUUAAGAGAAACGGUACCUGUCUUCUCAUCAAACCCUCUAAAUUCCACAUCACCACCGUCUUCUUGGAUAGAUGGACGAAUGCUAGUCUCGAUCAGUUCUUUAAUCAUUGCAACAAUUUGACUGUCGCUUUCUAAUAUUUGAGUAUCGCUAGCCCCCUUUAGAGGCUCUUCAGAGAGUACUGGGCUUCCAUUACUUAAAUGCUCCAUAAUUACACUAAACACUUCUGGCUUCAUUUGAGCCCAUUCAGUUCCUGCUCCCUUGGAAACAGUAAUAAAGUCCUUUCCAAAAAAAAUGCUAUCAACUCCAUCUAUAUCAAAUAGUUUCUGUGCCAAUGGAGAAUUCACAGUUCCUUGUCCUCUCAUGAAUUCACAGCUUCCGAUAGUUGGAGGCAAGAUAUCUAGCCCUGGCAGGAACUUCAAAGCGUUUUCGUUCGGUGUCUCCUCCGAUCGGAUCCAUAUGCUGCGAAUUGCUUGCAAUUGGAAACGUGGAGUGAAAACGUUACCAGCUGAAGAUACUGGUAAAAAGGUUUUCUUUUGGAAUGCUGUCCUUAAAGAUUGAAACGGCACAACUCUAGGAAAUAACAUGCUUGGAAUCAAAUCGUGCUUUAUCCAAUAAGAGACAAAAUAUUAAGACAAGUUCAGAAUUUGAAACUUCUUAAGUAUACACUUCAAACAGAUGGGAAAAUUUAAAUGUUUAUUAACAAUUUUUAAAUCAGGAAAUGCUAAUGUAAGCAAUUCUUUAAAUACAUGCAAGAAGGCAAUUUGUACAUGGGCAUACGAAAACCGAUGUGAUCCUUAUACUUUCUUAUACAAAUUAGCGAAGUUCAUUAUAUUGAAAUAAGCCAUUGUUCGUGAUUCAACAAUUUACUUGUCUUUCAUCACUAAUCUAAAUUCUCUCUUACAAGAACAAUAGACAUUGUUUUCAAUUGAACAAAUCGGUAGGCUCCUGCCUUCCUCAACAAC